rnacentral:lncRNA from 10 species
GGGAAGAAGAAAAGUGGCUUGAAGGAAGUAAGUCCCUUCAGAUGAGGGAGGGAGAAGCUCGAUCCAUAUGCAGACUUGCGCAGUCCUUCAGUCCUGGGGAUGUUGGAGGAGAGGCAGGUCUUGCCUUGUAUUUGAGAGUUACGAUCCCAGGCAGAGGCCCUACUUCUACCUUCUUGCAGGUGGGGCUGGGGGCAAAUACUUAGAGGAAGAACAAACACCCUUUGUAAGCAUGCGAAACGUUUCUGGAGUGGAGAGAUGAUGAGGCAGGAUAUUUGGAGUCAACAGCCAAUGUUUUUAAAAAUCCUCUCUCCCUGAGCCUUUUCUCAUUCAAAUUGCUGGCACCUUUGGACUCCUUGCUUCUAGGAGAGAAUGUCCUGGAGGAAACCAGAGACUCCCUGUGACCUGGAGCUUCACAAGCUUAGCCCCUUCCAGGAGCCAUGGAGGAGCUGGGGCAUGGGGAAAGUCUUGUGGGAUACUAGAGAAAGGAAGCGAAGCAGUGAAAGCAUCCUCCCAAAAGGGACUUUUUAUCCUUCUCCCUGGACUGAACUACAGAGAAAAGGAAGCCAUCCUCACAAAAAGAUCUAUGGGAUCAGAGAGUGGAGGGGACCGGAGCCCCAUGUCAUGACACAAGCCCUGGGAAGAUGGCACCAUUCCCAAGACACAUGAGUUCUGUCGUUGGCCACCAUUCCUACUGCCUGGACCAAAGUAGAAGCUCAAACAGUAUUCCCUGAGUGAAAGAAGGAAUACAGCAUCAGCCCUCUCAAAGAACUCUCCAGGAAGACUUCUCUUCAUCAGCAGCAGGGAAAGCUGAUGAGGGUCAUGUGAUCCUGUCUCCCGGGUGAA